rnacentral:rRNA from 1 species
GCUUACGGCCAUACCACCCUGAGAACGCCCGAUCUCGGAAGCUAAGCAGGGUUGGGCCUGGUUAGUACUUGGAUGGGAGACCGCCUGGGAAUACCAGGUGCUGUAAGCG